AAGUAAUUCUAGAGCUAAUACGUGCAACCAGCUCGUUUCCUCGUGAAGCGAGCGCAGUUAUUAGAACAAGACCAAUCCGGCCUUCGGGUCGGUAACUUGGUGACUCUGAAUAACCGAAGCAGAGCGCAUGGUCUCGUACCGGCGCCAGAUCUUUCAAGUGUCUGACUUAUCAGCUUGUUGUUAGGUUAUGUUCCUAACAAGGCUAUUACGGGUGACGGGGUAUCAGGGUCCGAUACCGGAGAGGGAGCCUGAGAAACGGCUACCACAUCCAAGGAAGGCAGCAGGCGCGCAAAUUACCCACUCCCGGCACGGGGAGGUAGUGACGAAAAAUAACGAUCUUAUAAGGGUUAUGCCUCUCGCAAUCGGAAUGGGUACACUUUAAAUCCUUAACG
rnacentral:rRNA from 1 species